AUAAAACUGAAAGAAGAUGGAUCCCCUUCAAUAAGUUGAGAAAAGUCAUAUGUUAAAAUCACAUACACGGAGCAAACCACUUUUGAACAUGUUAAGGGUUUUCACAUAAAUAAAGAUCUUGGAAGGUUUCAGAAGUACAUAAUUGCAAAGAAAAGAACCACUAUUCAAAUACUUUUUUUC